rnacentral:rRNA from 1 species
UACACACCGCCCGUCACACCAUGGAAGUCUGUUGCACCAGAAGUCGGUAGUCUAACCGCAAGGGGGCGCCGACCACGGUGUGGCCGAUGACUGGGGUG